UUAAAUUGAAGAGUUUGAACAUGGCUCAGAUUGAACGCUGGCGGCAGGCCUAACACAUGCAAGUCGAACGGUAACAGGAAGCAGCUUGCUGCUU
rnacentral:rRNA from 1 species